ACCUGCCUGUAAGACUGGGAUAACUCCGGGAAACCGGAGCUAAUACCGGAUAGUAUCUUGAACCGCAUGGUUCAAGUUGGAAAGACGGUUUCGGCUGUCACUUACAGAUGGGCCCGCGGCGCAUUAGCUAGUUGGUGAGGUAAUGGCUCACCAAGGCAACGAUGCGUAGCCGACCUGAGAGGGUGAUCGGCCACACUGGGACUGAGACACGGCCCAGACUCCUACGGGAGGCAGCAGUAGGGAAUCUUCCGCAAUGGACGAAAGUCUGACGGAGCAACGCCGCGUGAGUGAUGAAGGUUUUCGGAUCGUAAAACUCUGUUGUUAGGGAAGAACAAGUGCGAGAGUAACUGCUCGCACCUUGACGGUACCUAACCAGAAAGCCACGGCUAACUACGUGCCAGCAGCCGCGGUAAUACGUAGGUGGCAAGCGUUGUCCGGAAUUAUUGGGCGUAAAGCGCGCGCAGGCGGUUUCUUAAGUCUGAUGUGAAAGCCCCCGGCUCAACCGGGGAGGGUCAUUGGAAACUGGGAAACUUGAGUGCAGAAGAGGAGAGUGGAAUUCCACGUGUAGCGGUGAAAUGCGUAGAGAUGUGGAGGAACACCAGUGGCGAAGGCGACUCUCUGGUCUGUAACUGACGCUGAGGCGCGAAAGCGUGGGGAGCGAACAGGAUUAGAUACCCUGGUAGUCCACGCCGUAAACGAUGAGUGCUAAGUGUUAGAGGGUUUCCGCCCUUUAGUGCUGCAGCAACGCAUUAAGCACUCCGCCUGGGGAGUACGGUCGCAAGACUGAAACUCAA
rnacentral:rRNA from 1 species